rnacentral:rRNA from 1 species
UCCUCCCUCUGGCGGCGUGCUUAACACAUGCAAGUCGAACGGUGAAGCUCCAGCUUGCUGGAGUGGAUCAGUGGCGAACGGGUGAGUAACACGUGAGCAACCUGCCCCUGACUCUGGAAUAAGCGCUGGAAACGGCGUCUAAUACUGGAUACGAGAAGGGCCCGCAUGGGCACUUUCUGGAAAGUUUUUCGGUUGGGGAUGGGCUCGCGGCCUAUCAGCUUGUUGGUGAGGUAAUGGCUCACCAAGGCGACGACGGGUAGCCGGCCUGAGAGGGCGACCGGCCACACUGGGACUGAGACACGGCCCAGACUCGUACGGGAGGCAGCAGUGGGGAAUAUUGCACAAUGGGCGAAAGCCUGAGGCAGCGACGCCGCGUGAGGGAUGACGGCCUUCGGGUUGUAAACCUCUUUCAGCAGGGAAGAAGCGAAAGUGACGGUACCGGCAGAAGAAGCACCGGCUAACUACGU